rnacentral:rRNA from 1 species
CCGCCGGAGCUAAUACCGGAUAGUUCCUUGAACCGCAUGGUUCAAGGAUGAAAGACGGUUUCGGCUGUCACUUACAGAUGGACCCGCGGCGCAUUAGCUAGUUGGUGGGGUAAUGGCUCACCAAGGCGACGAUGCGUAGCCGACCUGAGAGGGUGAUCGGCCACACUGGGACUGAGACACGGCCCAGACUCCUACGGGAGGCAGCAGUAGGGAAUCUUCCGCAAUGGACGAAAGUCUGACGGAGCAACGCCGCGUGAGUGAUGAAGGUUUUCGGAUCGUAAAGCUCUGUUGUUAGGGAAGAACAAGUGCGAGAGUAACUGCUCGCACCUUGACGGUACCUAACCAGAAAGCCACGGCUAACUACGUGCCAGCAGCCGCGG